AAACAGCCCCCUAUGUUUUGAUUCUUUGGCAGUUUUGGACCCCCAAGGCAAAAAAAUAAAAUAAAAAUUGACACGUGGCACCUCACUUAGGGUGCCACGUCAGCGUUGACCGAGUCAACAAUGGACUGGGGGGUCCAAAACUGCCAAAGAAUCAAAACAUAGGGGGCUGUUU
rfam:Medicago truncatula strain A17 unplaced genomic scaffold scaffold0001, whole genome shotgun sequence.